UACGGAGGAGGCAAGCGUUAUCCGGAAUUAUUGGGCGUAAAGCGUCCGUAGGUGGAUAUUCGUGUCAGUUGUUAAAGGAUGCGGCUUAACCGCAUAAAGGCGAUUGAAACUGGAUGUCUAGAGUGCGAUAGGGGCAAGGGGAAUUCCCAGUGUAGCGGUGAAAUGCGUAGAUAUUGGGAAGAACACCGGUGGCGAAAGCGCCUUGCUGGGUCUGCACUGACACUGAGGGACGAAAGCUAGGGGAGCGAAA
rnacentral:rRNA from 1 species